rnacentral:rRNA from 1 species
AUGGGCAAGGGCGGCGGCUGCGUCCCCAGCAAGAAGCGCCAGCCGCCGGCCACCACCGUCGCCGCCGCGCCCUCGUCGUCGUCAGCCACCGCGGUCCCGCGGGACGCGCCCGAGGAGGCCCUGGACGCACCCACCGGGGAGUCGAGGCGGACGCUGCGGCUGUACAUCGUGUUCUACUCGAUGUACGGGCACGUGGAGGCGCUGGCGCGUCACGCGGCAGCGGGAGCGGGUGCGGUGGAGGGGGUGGAGGUCGUCCUGCGGCGGGUGCCGGAGACUCUCUCGCCGGAGGUGCUGGAGAAGAUGCAGGCGCCAUCCAAGGACCCCACCGUCCCGGUCAUCUCAGCGCCGGCCGACCUGGAGGAAGCCGACGGGGUGCUGUUCGGGUUCCCGACCAGGUACGGCGCCAUGGCCGCGCAGAUGAAGGCAUUCUUUGACUCCACAGGCUCCCUCUGGGAGAAGCAGAGGCUCGCCGGGAAGCCCGCCGGAUUCUUCGUCAGCACCGGCACCCAGGGCGGCGGCCAGGAGACCACUGCUUGGACGGCAAUCACCCAGCUGGUGCACCACGGGAUGCUGUUUGUUCCCAUCGGCUACACCUUUGGCUUGGGCAUGUUUAACAUGGACGACAUCAGAGGGGGCAGCCCCUAUGGAGCUGGAGUUCUUGCUGGUGACGGUAGCAGGCAGCCCAGCGAGGCGGAACUUGCCCUCGCCGAGCACCAGGGCAAGUACAUGGCCGCCUUCGUCAAGAAGCUCGGCCAGGCCUGA